GACGAACGCUGGCGGCGUGCUUAACACAUGCAAGUCGAGCGGUAAGGCCUUUCGGGGUACACGAGCGGCGAAAGGGUGAGUAACACGUGGGUGAUCUGCCCUGCACUUCGGGAUAAGCCUGGGAAACUGGGUCUAAUACCGGAUAUGACCUCCUAUCGCAUGGUGGGUGGUGGAAAGAUUUAUCGGUGCAGGAUGGGCCCGCGGCCUAUCAGCUUGUUGGUGGGGUAAUGGCCUACCAAGGCGACGACGGGUAGCCGACCUGAGAGGGUGACCGGCCACACUGGGACUGAGACACGGCCCAGACUCCUACGGGAGGCAGCAGUGGGGAAUAUUGCACAAUGGGCGAAAGCCUGAUGCAGCGACGCCGCGUGAGGGAUGACGGCCUUCGGGUUGUAAACCUCUUUCAGCAGGGACGAAGCGUAAGUGACGGUACCUGCAGAAGAAGCACCGGCUAACUACGUG
rnacentral:rRNA from 1 species